rnacentral:tmRNA from 1 species
GGGGGCGACUUGGCUUCGACGUGGGUAGCAGAGCUUGCGGUGCAUGCCGAGAGGGUAGUGACUCUCGUUAAACAAUCGCUGUAACUUUAAUAUAGUUGCCAACGACGAAAACUACGCACUAGCGGCCUA